rnacentral:rRNA from 1 species
UACGAAGGGGGCUAGCGUUGCUCGGAAUCACUGGGCGUAAAGCGCACGUAGGCGGAUCUUUAAGUCAGGGGUGAAAUCCUGGAGCUCAACUCCAGAACUGCCUUUGAUACUGGGGAUCUCGAGUCCGGAAGAGGUGAGUGGAACUCCGAGUGUAGAGGUGAAAUUCGUAGAUAUUCGGAAGAACACCAGUGGCGAAGGCGGCUCACUGGUCCGGUACUGACGCUGAGGCACGAAGGUCAGGGGAGCAAACGGG